UACCCAUCGAGACAAACCCUGUGCGUCGGUGGGUUUGUGAGGUAAGUGAGAGAAGGAGCACACAUGGUGAGUUUUGGAGUGGAGGCGGACAUAAAGAUGAAGGGGCAGGGGAGUGAGGAAGAUCUGUGGUUAGGAAGAAGGAGUGGGUUGAAGGCCUCGUUCGCUUAACGUAGUACGGGCGUCACUACUUUCGAGAGCGGCGGCGGAGCGGCCAGAGCCGCGGCGGAAGCGGGGCAGCCUCGCAGCGUCCGAGCAGUCCACGCGGCACAGUUUCGGACGUGAGGAGUAAGGCGCCGUAGAGGGACGCCACGGCAGGGUCCUUUGGCCGGGUGGCGAGCGGCGGCGAUGCGUCGAGGGCCCGCCGCCGCGUCCACCACCGCUACUUCGGCCGCUAGGUCAAGUAGGUCCCGUGCCUGCUCGUCUGCUAGGGCCUGCACGCCGACUGGUUCAGGGCGCUGCCGUGGUUGCCCCAUCGGUAGAAGCUCAAGCUGGUCGGCAGCCACAAGCUGAGCAGCCGCCUCGAGCCCCUGUAGUGCCCCAAGAUGUACUAGCUGCUCCUCCCGUACGACGUCUGCCACCUGCACUCGCGGUUCAAGCAGUUGCCCUUCGGCCGGUCCCACCUCCGGUUCAUGCACUACGCGUGCCGGCCCCUGACCCUGGCCAAGUACUCCAAGUACCUCUCCAUGAGCGUCCGGUUGCCGGAGGUCAAGCAGUUCUUAAUUCAGUGUAGAGGAGCUACACGGAACACACAACGGGUACAAGUCAAGUCAUAUUGACAGCUCGACCAUUGCCUCCACUUACUAACAUGAUUUCCACAGUACACAUAGAGAACACAUUGAAACUGUAACACACUUUAAAACAUACGUGGUCGACUUUCGUGCUUGACUCCUUUUGGCCAUCUUUUGUUCGUAGACGCUGAGUCUGCGUGGUCAGGGCUGCAACACGUACAACUACAACACAAUUGUUGAUCAAAGUCUGAAGUCAAAUCAAAAAAGACUUAUUAUCGGUCUUCAUGCUAUACAAAAGUACGACGCCGUCUUAUCCAACAUCGCAAAUUAAGAGACAUUCAACAACCUGUGCUAGUCAGGCACCCUACCGCGCCCUAAUUGCCUAGCACGUGUCGAUCAAACGAUACAGCGACUUAUUUUCCUUUUUUUCCCUUUUACUACGUUUCACACGCGCAGCGG
rnacentral:rRNA from 1 species